UCAGGAGCGCGAGCACGGGAGAGAUUUAUAAGGACGAUGAGAAAUAGCGCCGUCGUUUUGCUGUUUUUCAGUCACAUUCCUGGGAGAGGAUGACUCCUAGCCAGGACUCCGCCAUUAGCAGGAAAGCAAUGGAGGUUCAAGCAGCAGAGCGCCCUGAGCUGGCUGAAGUUCCUAAAGGGCUGCCCUGGCUCCUGUGCAGAGGAUGGAGUGUGAGGGGAGAGAGAGGAAGUAGACUAACAGAAAAAGGAUGCUGGCUUGGACCUGGAGGCGGCAGUAGAAAUGCCCGUUUAAAGUUGGAGUAUUAAUGUGAACAGACCCGGGAUGGAAUUUGGAUUCCUCAUGCUUGUGACCAGAACUGGAAGGCCGGGAUGUGCCCCUGCUUUGGAGAGUGACAGAGUGGAUGUUCAGGUCAUCUGUUCCUGGCAGAAGCUUCUCCAGACUCAAGCUCGUGGCAGGGACUGGCCUCCCUCGCAGCUCUCUUGCUCUGGCAACAUCAAGAUGCCCACAGCUGGUCUUUUGUGAACCACACCGCUCAGUGAGCCUUGGCUGAUCCAAAAACCUGGUGUCAUUCGUUGACACUGAGGUCCUGAGCCCUGGUGUCUGGGCACACCUUCUCUGCCCUGCUCGCUCCCCACCUCGAGUGAGCUUUAAGAAAGAUUCUCGGGGGCAGACUGCCUCCGGCAAUGUGGUGAAGCUCUUCCCUUUCCAUCAGACCCUUCCUAGCACAGGGAAAAACUCAGCUCCCUCAAGGAGGACUGGAAAUGUCACCUAAAUUGACAGCCCCAUGCAGACAUGUAAGGUUUACGUGGUAGUCACUUUGAGUUUGUAAAAGCAAGCAUUCCUCUGCUGGGAGGAGGAAGUGGGAAGCCCGGCUGCACCUUCUCCCUGAGAUGAAUGACUGGGAGAUGUCGCAACAAACCUCAGCCCCUUCUGGGAAAGGGCGCGCUGUUUGUCUUCAGCGCCGCCAGCCCAGGGGGUGGUGGGGAUACGGAGGGAGCUCCACGCCCUUUCCGCAGAGCUCCUGUCAGGUUCCAGCCUGCAGGGCCAGAGUAGGCUGCUGGACAGAAAGAAAUGUGACUUUUCAGCAUGGGCUUCUGGCCAGCAGGGUCACCUUGCACAUCCUUUGAGGCUUGGUUCUUUGGUCUUUGCAGCUGAGCCAAAUGGCAGUGCCAGGCAGAAGGCGCUGCCCUCUGGUGUGUGGAUGCUCCUGUCAGUCAAGGCCAAAGAGACUCCAGCUGCAGUUUCUGAUGAAAGGCGCCUUGCAGCCCUGGCGCUUGGCAUUCUGCAUGGGGCUCCAGUGUGACUGGGAGGGGCCUCCCUCUGCAGCUGGAGCAAAGUCUCACUCCGAACGAGAUCUAUGGGGGCUGGGGGUGGAGAUGAGCAUGACAAAAGAAGGAAAUCACAGUUGUGUGUAUUCUGUCCCCACUCGGAAACGGGUGACGCAUCGAUAGGACACUUUCCUGCAAUUCCCUCUUCUCACUCACAAAGAUUUGAAUGACUGAACAACAACAACAAAAAGCAUAGAAGACAGAAAAGAAAAGGGAAUAAAGGACAACAGUACUUUUGGCCAUUCUCCUCUUUGGGAGAUUUCAGAACCAGACAGGAGUGGAUCCAAAUUCCUCCUGAGAACCGUGGCAGCUCCAUGAUUUGGCUAACUCACAAAACCUCCUUAAGGCUCAGGGCUCGAAGUAAAGGGCUUUGGGGAUGAAAAGUUACAAGAUAGAAGGCUUCUGGAUUCCUGGGUCAUCCUUUGGAGGAGAGCUGCUCAGGAGAGUCACCCGACGUAUCCAGCUGUGAUGGGAAACCAACUUUGUGUGCUACACCACUGAGUGUUUGAGCUUUGUUUGUUAUCUUAGCUUAUCCUGUAUUAACACGUUUACACUUAGUGUCCAGAAAGGGCUAAAAUUCCAUCACCCCAGGGUUUAGAAAGGAUCAUCUAUAUAUUACCUAUCAAAAAAUCUCUACCAGGGGCCGGCCCGGUGGCGCAGCAGUUAAGUUUGCACGUUCCACUUUGGUGGCCUGGGGUUUGCCGGUUCAGAUCCCAGCUACGGACAUGGCACCGCUUGGCAAGCCAUGCUGU